rnacentral:lncRNA from 1 species
AGCUCCGAAAUAAAGAAAAGAAAAAAAAAAAAAAAAAAGGAAAAAAAAAAACAAAAAAAACCCCAGCGUGGUUGGCAGAGGUCAGGGUGAGAAGGGAUGAAUAGGUGUGGCACUAUAUGUGGGGCGUGUGGGAGUGACCUAGCGGAGGGAAAAGUGGGAUGGAGAGCUAAGCACCAUGCCUCCUGCUCCUGCGCCUGCUCCUGGGCCUGCGGGAGGAAUCCUAAUCCAGCUGCACUCCAGCUGCACACAGCCUUAUCUAAAGCGGCUCCUGGCAGAACCCGCAAACCGAUGAGACAGAACAAUGGACCAGAGCCCAGGGCUGUAGCAGUUUCCACUUCCUGUCUUCACAGAAAUCCCCCUCCUCCCACCUCCGGGCGAUCCAUUCUCUCCCCUACAGAAUUCCCUAUAGAGCAAAUUAGAUCCAACAGGACAUCGGAUGUAAUCUCCCCUACCUUUGCCCCUUGGUUAUGUAACCUCAACUCUUAUUGGCUGAAGAGUUGUAUGUAAGUUUUUGUACGGCUAGAUUUGUACUCCUAUGCUAGUCUCCCGAGUC